UAACCUCUAGCGAGAAUCGUGAAUGUUG
rnacentral:ncRNA from 1 species